UACGUAGGGUCCGAGCGUUGUCCGGAAUUAUUGGGCGUAAAGAGCUCGUAGGCGGUUUGUCGCGUCUGCUGUGAAAUCCCGAGGCUCAACCUCGGGCCUGCAGUGGGUACGGGCAGACUAGAGUGCGGUAGGGGAGACUGGAAUUCCUGGUGUAGCGGUGAAAUGCGCAGAUAUCAGGAGGAACACCGGUGGCGAAGGCGGGUCUCUGGGCCGUAACUGACGCUGAGGAGCGAAAGCGUGGGGAGCGAACAGG
rnacentral:rRNA from 1 species